CCUACGGGAGGCUGCAGUGGGGAAUAUUGGACAAUGGGGGAAACCCUGAUCCAGCAAUGCCGCGUGAGUGAUGAAGGCCUUCGGGUUGUAAAGCUCUUUUGUCAGGGAUGCGGUACCUGACGAAUAAGCUCCGGCUAACUUCGUGCCAGCAGCCGCGGUAAUACGAGGGGAGCUAGCGUUGUUCGGAAUUACUGGGCGUAAAGGGCGUGUAGGCGGUAUCAUAAGUCAGAUGUGAAAGCCCUAGGCUUAACCUAGGAGGUGCAUUUGAUACUGUGAAACUAGAGAUCGAGAGAGGAAAGUGGAAUUACGAGUGUAGAGGUGAAAUUCGUAGAUAUUCGUAAGAACACCAGUGGCGAAGGCGACUUUCUGGUCAUACUGACGCUAAGGCGCGAAAGCGUGGGGAGCAAACAGGAUUAGAUACCCUUGUAGUC
rnacentral:rRNA from 1 species